rnacentral:rRNA from 1 species
AACUGCGGACGGCUCAUUAUAACAGUAAUAGUUUCUUUGGUUAGUAAAAUACAAGGAUAGCUUUGUGAAUGAUAAAGAUAAUACUUGAGACGAUCCAGUUUGUAUUAGUACAAAAUGGCCAAUUCAUUCAAUGAAUUGAGAAAUGACAUUCUAAGUGAGUUAGGAUGCCACGACAAUUGUAGAACACACAGUGUUUAACAAGUAACCAAUGAGAAUUUCUGAUCUAUCAAUCAGUUGGUAGUAUCGAGGACUACCAAGAUUAUAACGGAUAACGAGGAAUUGGGGUUCGACAUCGGAGAGGGAGCUUUACAGAUGGCUACCACUUCUAAGGAAGGCAGCAGGCGCGUAAAUU